UUUUUUUUUUUUUUUUUUUUUUUUUGUCGACACGAUAGAAUUCUUAUAACCUAAACUAGCCUAUUCUAGAGGGGAAGGGGAGGGGACUUGAUGUGAGUAGAAACUCCAUCGAAACUGGUCAAAGAAGACCGUUACAUAUUGUGACAAAUUUUGUGGGAGGCAAGGUUCGAACCCUUGACCUCUCGCACUACCAAGCCUAAGAAGGCUUGGGAUGACCACUGGACCAAAGGCCCAAUGGCGAACAAAUAAGGUUGGGAUGGCUUCAUCCGUCUCAAAUGCAAAUUUGAAUUCCAACGGAGGUCUGACAAAAAAUAAACAAAACUAAAGGUGAAAGUAAGAAAUUUGUAAAUGUCUUGUUUACCAUUUUGGGUAAGUCACAAUAAUUUUGGAACAGACCAAAAUGACAAGCAUCACAUUUUAUGGAAAUAAGGGAAUAACUACUCCUAAAACAAAAUUGCAUCGGCAACAGACAAAAUUAUAGCAUCUGAAGUGUAUGAAAAAAAAAAAAAAACAAAUUGGACUGCAUUGAACUCAUCCCUGUCGUUGGAUAGAACAACCACUGCACUGUGAAAAUGGUAGAAAAAACUUGGGUAUCAUUGAUCUAAGAAUGAGAAAAUCUCAAAUUGGAUUGAUGUUAAAUAAAAAUAAAAAAUAUAAUAAUCUUAAUAGUAAUAAUAAAAUAAAAACUAGUAGCAUUAAUAUUCAGCAAUUUUGAAAUAUUAGUAACAUCUAUCUAACAAUAGAGAAAGAGUUUUUCUCCCUAUAAAAAUAACUUCAUCCCAUCCAACUGAAUUGAAUUACAUUAUCAUUCAACUAAAUUGAAUUACAUCAUUAUUCUACAAUAAAACCGGCAUUUUUAUUCCACCAUUAUUUAAAUCAAUAGAUAUCAAGCUUGUGCUAAUUUAGGGAGUAUAGAUUGUGUCCACCACAAGGUGCAGGGCAGGUGAUCUACGUUCUUAUGAAGUUGUAUAAAUUCUUACCUCUGUCAAAAUAUUUGGCCCUCUAACUGUUUUGCAAAUCAGCUUUGGAUAUGUAUUAGUUAUACUUUUAACUACAUUUGAAAAUGUGUUUGGAUUGUAUUGAUUUCCAAGUAUAAUAGUAUGAAGUGCUAACGAAUUUAAUAGGUUGAAACAAUUUUGUAAAAAUAUUUCCGUAUCUAAAUAUUUUUGUUGAUAUAAAUUAUUAUAACUACCAUGUUUAAGAUAUUCAUAUCUUCAAAAGGUUUGGUCCACAAUUUUAUCAAAAUGAUUGCUUUUAAAAUCUCGCCAAUACCUACCAAGAUUGUCUAUAAGUAAUUAAACUUUAAUAAAAGAAAAAUCAUGCAAAAUUGUAAAAAAAAUUGGGUAGAUGUUUAUGUUAUUUAUAUUGUCUUUGUUCAUCAAUUUUUUUGUAAAUUUUUUAUUUUUAUUCGCAAUUUGAUUAUAAAAUUGAUUAUAGAAAAUCAUUGUGUUCAGUGAACUAGAGUAGGCAUGUUAGUAUAGAGGAUCAAAUUGGAUGAUAAGGGGAGAGGGAUUCUAAAUAAGAGGUUUUGGAUUCAAGAUCUCCUACUUACAAAAAAAAAAAGGUAUGUUAAUGCAACAAUAGCCUCCGCAUAAUAAUGUUACUAUAUAAUAAUGCAUGAGUAUGGUUUGGAGUUUACAAAGGUGUUAGCAUUUACCCAUCCAAAAAUAUCCUUCCAACAUUUACUAUUAUCUAUCCCCAUCUUAUUUGGAAAAUCUUCGCUCGUACAUAACUAACACUACAUACGAUGACUACAUUCCCAUUAACUGAUUCACUAAUCCAAUAAUGAACAUUGCACCACCACCCAAAAUUCUCUCCAACUAAUUUUUUAUUUUAUAUCUACUUUAUUAUUUGCUUUUUUCUAAAAUAUGCACACUAAUACUAAAAUAUGUUUUUUUUUUCUAAAUUAGUGUGUUCCACACCUACUAGUUGACAGGUUGUCAGCCUGUGCAAUAAUAAAACCUGCUCAAACUAAAAGUAAUUUCUGUAGAUAGCGGUAAGCAGGGUCGAAUCCACAGGGACUGGGAGUAAUUGUUUCUUUUCAAAUUCACAGUGACAAAGGGGGGUGUUUUUGUGUAGAAGGUGACAAUAAAAGAAGUUCAAAUAAAAUCUAAGAAACUACUAAAAAUUAAAUAACAAAUUACUAAAAUCAAAUGAAUGAUAAUUAAGGAUCUAGCCAAGGAAUAACUUCAGCAAUGGUUCACCUAAUUGAUCAUCGAUGCAAAGCCAAUUCCAAUUAUUUAUCAAUAAAUAGGUUAUAACUACCAAACAAGCGAUGGCAGUCAACCCCUCCUUACUGUGUCGGUGAUCAAGGUACGCCCGUUAAUCACUGCUCUAAUUGAGAAAUAAUCCUAGGUACGCCCGUAAAAUUUAAUUCCCCAAUUGCCUUACGUAUUAGAGGAGCCCUAUUCUAACCAAAUAACGCACUACCAGGGUUAUUUUAGAUUAGCCCGCGUAUUCCCCUGACACAAACCUAAUCAUGCCAGUUGUCACUAUUUUAGAGCAAUUAAACAAUUACGGAUUUAAUGCCCUAAUUGACAAUAGAUUACCCAAUCAACUAAUUAUCUGGAUCCAAGACAAUCAAUUAAUUAAACAACCAUAAGCACUGCAACCAGGGAAUAUGCGAAUACCAAUAAAUAAAAGGAAAAGAUUAAAUUAAAUUGAUCUCACAAUUUUAGAUGACCCAAAGCAUCCGUUGUCCCUUGACUAGAUAAAAGAGUUUAGCUCAUUGUUGAUGAGAAAAACCCAUACAAAACUGACGCAAAAGCUGCGGCCAUGGUCUCCGAUUUAGUGGACCCAAUUCGUUUGAAUCAUCAAAUGAAAAGCUAAACUACAAAAGUGAUUGCUUCACUCUAAUGGUCCCUGCCAUCCGCAGGGAGCCACUACUCAAAAACGGCCAUGGAAAAGUCAAAGUGAAAAACUAAAAACAGUGCUUGCUCUCUGCAGUUUUUAUAUCUGUCUAGGUCCUACUCUAGUUACUCACUAACAUCCCCCUUGUGCGGCGGCUCUCAAUAAGAAGACUCCUCGUUUCCGUCCUUUUGCCUUCCGCAAUUACUAAAAUGGGCACAAGUUUGCCUUUGCCAACAAUGCCCCCGGGAUAAGCUCUGUGCCUUGGACUCCUUUUCUAUCAAAUUAGCACUUGUUAUUAUAUUUUCGUUCUACUCCCUGAAAUAUAUGCCAAAUACUAAAAAUGAGUAGAAUCCAGCAAUUAAUCCACAUCGGGUCAGGUAAUAGGGAAAAUUAAUAAUAAAAUAAAUGAUAAAAUUGCAAUCUAUCAAUUCCCCCCACACCUAAACCAUGCUUGUCCUCAAGCAUAAGAACAACAAACAAACAUCCAUGUUUGAUAAUGGCCAUUGCUCCAUCUAUCUUAUUGCCAAGAUACCAAGAAAAAUAUAUAUCAAGCAUCAGUGAUCAAGAUCCAAGAAACAUCACUCCGGUUAGCUUCUAAACCACAAACUCCUCCAAUUUCAGGUUAACUAAUCUAAGAAAAAGGAAUGACGCGCAACAUUUAUCAGCAAAUGGUCCAACUAUUAACCAAAAUCUCAACAUUAAAUCCAUAAUUCGGCAAGCUGACUUUUAUUACACACUAACACAACCUUCACCUUUUUUUCACAUUUUUUUUUCUACUUUUCUCUUCUUUUUUUUUUUUUUUUAAGAGAAACAAAAGACUUAGUCGCUAGCCAUUUGAGCCUUUUGACGCGAACUCCAACAUUGGCCAGAUGAAGGAGCCCGGUUACUCAGCUUCUAUCGCCACGUGACCACGUACUCAUAGCAAUUACUACUUUUUGACGCGAGAAUCGACACUUUUGGUGAAGAUCCCCGGUUACUCGGUAGUAAAUACUAGCGGAGUACAGUCAACUCUUAUUCACAGCCAAAUAAUACCAAAAAUUCAAAAUAACACAAAAAUCAAAAAGAACUUUACAGCCGCUAGCCUCAUUUCCAAAUAUGGAGAACUAAGAUUAAUAACCGGACCAAUUCACAUGAAAAUGCUAACAAUCAUUCCCUAUGCCUAGGAAAGUUAACCAAAAAUUAUAAGAGUAAAACAAUCAUCGAUAUUCACCAAAGAGAUGUUUUUGGAUUCAACCACAUGAAUUUGAUACAUUCUUAUUUUAAAAACUUGGCAAAAGCAGAAAUAGAGGCAAUAAUCCAACAUCAAACCUUGGCAUGCACUUACGAGCCAAUCACUAAAAAGAAGAAACAGAAAAUGAACGAAAGACACUAGUACCAUAACUGCUCCCCCCACACCUAAAUCCUACAUUGUCCUCAAUGGAGGUAAUAAAGUAAUGAAAGCGAAGAGAACAAUGAAACUUCCCUGUUGAAUAGCUAAGGUAUAGGAGGGAACAGUGGAGGGAAGCCGAGUUCUGAGACAUCCUUGCCACUUGGCGGGUGAUGUUCGUCAUUCGCUCAUCUACGUUGUGAACCUGUGCUUGUAAGUGGCGCCACUCACCAUUGUCGCCAAUUAUCACCCCAAACAACAAAAGACAGAAUAUCCAACAAAGAUGGCAACCAACAAAUGCAAAUCCAUAGGCACUGGUGUUCCCCAACUCAAUAGUCAAAUGCAAAAGCAAACACGGGCACCCAAGCCCAAAUAUGGUCAACAAAGCAACAGUUGCACUCCGAAACUAACAACCAGUAACUAUUAUCAACAACUGGAAACUAGCAAGGUCACGUCAAUAAGCACAGGGGCUACCCAAAUCAGUAAGUCAACAAACGAACUCGGGCCGUCCACGAUCUCAACAAAUGCACUCUAAAAUUUUAACGAAUGCCCCCACCUGUCAAACCAUGACAAUUGCCCCCGAUUAUAUGCUAAAUUAGCAAUAGAAGUGUAGAAAGAAGCAAUAGCAACACAGGCACACGGUCUUGGCAGUUGAUCAAAUAUCCAACCAACUAGAGUUAACAAGUUCCAGAUAAAAUAUUCCAAUAAUAGCACCUAAAGACUCAACAAAUACCCCUAGCAGUAAGCCUCAAGAAGUGAACAAGUCAAGCAAUAGUAGUGGAAAACUCUGACAUUAACAACUGAAUCUCAAACCCCCAGCAUUUCAACUAGAUGCACUGAACUGGAAUAAGCAAUGUAGAGGGUAUAGAAGCCUCCCAAUUUAACAAACAAGUGCAAUAUUUCAGCUCACUCAAAUACUCAACAAAUGGCUCCAGUUGGCCAGUAGAAGUCGCAACCCAAAAUCAGCAAUUUCAAGGAUAACAGCUCAGGGCUUGGACAAUAAUCACUUAGCCAACCAAAUAGAAGUACCCAAUUGAGGUCCAAUCACCCCACCAGUACCACUGGUGUAGUAAACUAUGGAAGAGAAAUCACACACCACCAAUAUCAGGCCACCGACAAACCAAAAUAACAAUUAACACUGCUCACAAUUGAGAAUCGCAACAAUCAAAACACAAGCAAAGCUGCCUCCCAAUUAGCAAAAGACAAUUUCACAAAUCCAGCCCACCCAAAAACUCGACAAAUGUACCCACAAGUUCAACAAAUAUUCUCACGAGUAUGGCAAACUAGGAAUGAACAAGAUCUGGGUCAAAUAUCACAACCAGUACCACUGGUUUACCACACAAUUGAAGAAAUAACCCCCAACGGCCAACAAUACCAAUUAUUGAGAAACCAGACAGCACCAAUGAAUAUUAAGAAAUUGGGGAAUAAAUUCCAAAUACCUCCACCGAAGAGAGUAGCGUGCGAGGUUGGCUGGGGCUGUUGGCAGCGUCCAAGUGCUUCGGUGGCGGCGUUGGCUCGCGAUGGAGCUGCGGCGGAGCUGGCUAUGCGAGCAGAGAGGGACCAGCGAGCUAGAGUGGCGCGCGCAGACAGCGGAGGGAACUUCAGCAGCGGCGACGGUGGAGAGGCGGGUGAGCUGUGAUGGCAGCGCGAGGGAGAUGGGCGGCGCUGCUGCGGUGAGAUCGAGCUGGUGGUGGCGCAAUUUGGCGUGCGGCGGUGGAGCUUCGUGCGCAGAGCAGCUGUGGCCGCGGCGUCUUCGAGCGAGGAGUUGCUGCGUGACGGCCGAGGGCGCUUCAGCAGCGGCGGCGGACAGAGGGCUUCGGUCAACAGAGAGGAAGAAGAAACAGGGGAGAAGAAAGAAAGAAAAGAGAGAAGAAGAAAGAAAGAAAGAAAGAAAGAAAAAGAAAGAAAAGAAAAGAAAGAGAAAUUGUUUUUUUUUUUUUAUACUUAAAAAAUCUAAGCUACGGUGAAACAAAAAAUUAAAUAUUUUUUUAAUUUUUUAAUAUUUUUUUUAAAUUUUAAAAAAAAAAUUUUCUUUUUUUUUUCAUUGGCAAAUUUCAUUUUCGAGAUUCAAAAGCAGAGAUAACCAACAAUCAACAACUGUUCUUGAAUUUUUUUAAAUACUUAUCUCUCCCGCAACGUGACGUGGGCACGCCAUGAAGGCACGGAAUCUGGAGCUCUCCAUAUGACAUGACGCAGCACGUCAUGAGGGCAGGAGAGCUCUCUGACCGUGAGCUUUCUGUUCAUCAUGGCGCAGGCGCGCCGAGUCAGAUAGACACCUACAACUCACCAAAAACGAAAAUUUCAAAUCCGAAACCAAUCAAACUCAAGGAAAACAUAUUUAAACUAUCACACGAAAUCAAAACAAAUAAUCAAAAGAAAUAAUUGGGUUGCCUCCCAAUGAGCGCCUUUCUUUAAUGUCUUUGGCUAGACAUUAUCACGUUUUGUUCAUGGAGGAUAAAAUCUUGUGGCUCGUCUUAAUGCUUCAUCCUCUAUAUAGUCCUGAUAGCCCUCGUAAAUAGAGUAAUCCUUGAGCUCACGAGCUACGGUCUUCCCUGGACUAGUAAAUGGCACCAAACAAGUCGAUGAUAAUUUGCAUUCUCCAUUCACUCCUCCCUCACUUGCAUUUAUUGGUACAAGAUAUCUUGCCAUCGCCACUCUUAAUUUAUUCCUGUCAUGAAAUUCAAAAUUGUCUGGUAUAAUAAAGUCAAUUUCAUUAACAGGAAUUGAAGAGUAAGAGUCAGGAGAAUAGUGAUGAAGGAGUGGAGGGGAUGUCACCGCAUUUGGAGAUUGUUCACUGGAUUCAUUCACUUGAAUGAGUUGAUCCUGGAGUCUCAUUUUUUGCACUUCAACUUCCUUUUCAACUGCAUCUUUAAAUCCGUUUCCUUGAAACUCUUGCAGUUCCAUGUCAUUUGGCCGGAUAAUUGCACUCUCAUCUCCUUCAAGAUUGAUAUUGGUUUGUGAGGGCAAUUCUUCAAGGUGAGAAGCUAAUCGCUCUAUCCUGGAUGUCAAUUGACGCAUUUGAUCCGCCAGGUCGCGAAGGCUCGCUUGUGUCUCCUGAUGAAAUCGAUUUAGACUCGCUUGUGUCUCCUGAUGAAAUCGAUUUGUAUUAGCAAUUAGUAAUUCCAUCAUUUCUUCAAGAGACAUACCUGACACGGAGGAUGAUUGCUGAGACUCUUGCUGUUGAAAAUCCAUUGGCCCCGUCGCAUAAUUAAAAUUGGAAUUAUCCCACCAUCCUUGAUCAUACCUGUUUGGAUAAGGGUCAUACCACGUUUGAAAUCGUGAUGGAAAAUCUCCAAAAGUAUCAACUAGAGCACUUAGAUUAUCUUGAAAUGCGGGGCAUGUGUCGGUUGAAUAAUUUGAGGCAAAAUAAGUUUCACAAUUUGCAACAGCCCAUUGAUCAUUAGGAAAAACACGAGUCUCAUAACCCCAUUCAGGAAUAAAGUCCAGUCUAUCAUCAAAAUACGGAAUGUUAGCAGCCAUAAAAAAAAAUAAAAAAAAUAAGAGAAAAAUAAAUUAAAAAAAAAAUGAAAACAAGAUAAACUCAAAAAGAAACAAAUUAAUCUGGCACCAGUCCCCGGCAACGGCGCCAAAAAUUGACAGGUUGUCAGCCUGUGCAAUAAUAAAACCUGCUCAAACUAAAAGUAAUUUCUGUAGAUAGCGGUAAGCAGGGUCGAAUCCACAGGGACUGGGAGUAAUUGUUUCUUUUCAAAUUCACAGUGACAAAGGGGGUGUUUUUGUGUAGAAGGUGACAAUAAAAGAAGUUUAAAUAAAAUCUAAGAAACUACUAAAAAUUAAAUAACAAAUUACUAAAAUCAAAUGAAUGAUAAUUAAGGAUCUAGCCAAGGAAUAACUUCAGCAAUGGUUCACCUAAUUGAUCAUCGAUGCAAAGCCAAUUCCAAUUAUUUAUCAAUAAAUAGGUUAUAACUACCAAACAAGCGAUGGCAGUCAACCCCUCCUUACUGUGUCGGUGAUCAAGGUACGCCCGUUAAUCACUGCUCUAAUUGAGAAAUAAUCCUAGGUACGCCCGUAAAAUUUAAUUCCCCAAUUGCCUUACGUAUUAGAGGAGCCCUAUUCUAACCAAAUAACGCACUACCAGGGUUAUUUUAGAUUAGCCCGCGUAUUCCCCUGACACAAACCUAAUCAUGCCAGUUGUCACUAUUUUAGAGCAAUUAAACAAUUACGGAUUUAAUGCCCUAAUUGACAAUAGAUUAUCCAAUCAACUAAUUAUCUGGAUCCAAGACAAUCAAUUAAUUAAACAACCAUAAGCACUGCAACCAGGGAAUAUGCGAAUACCAAUAAAUAAAAGGAAAAGAUUAAAUUAAAUUGAUCUCACAAUUUUAGAUGACCCAAAGCAUCCGUUGUCCCUUGACUAGAUAAAAGAGUUUAGCCCAUUGUUGAUGAGAAAAACCCAUACAAAACUGACGCAAAAGCUGCGGCCAUGGUCUCCGAUUUAGUGGACCCAAUUCGUUUGAAUCAUCAAAUGAAAAGCUAAACUACAAAAGUGAUUGCUUCAUUCUAAUGGUCCCUGCCAUCCGCAGGGAGCCACUACUCAAAAACGGCCAUGGAA
rnacentral:lncRNA from 1 species